AAUGAACGUUGGCGGCGUGGAUUAGGCAUGCAAGUCGUGCGCGAACUGUAGCAAUACAGGGAGAGCGGCGAAAGGGAGAGUAAUACAUGGUUAGCUGCCCUCGGGUCUGGGAUAGCGGCGGGAAACUGCCGGUAAUACCAGAUGAUAUCUUCGGAUCAAAGGUGUGAUUCCGCCCGAGGAGGUGACCGUGUCCUAUCAGCUAGUUGGCGGGGUAAUGGCCCACCAAGGCAAAGACGGGUAUGGGGCGUGAGAGCGUGCCCCCACUCACUGGGACUGAGAUACUGCCCACGACACCUACGGGUGGCAG
rnacentral:rRNA from 1 species